ACUAGCGGCUCGUGUUUUGCGUGGUCCGAUGAGUGACUCUGUUUUCGGUGUAAAAAACUUGCUGAAGUCGACACAACACUGUUUCCCUGGAGGAGAGGAUGAGUGCGUUGGAAAGUAAAGCCGCGGGCCCAGUGUGGACGAGUCGAGGCGGAGAAGACGGGCGCACAAUCCCAAAAUUACGGAAACUGCCCGUCUCUUCACACCUCUGAGGCAAAUGGCCGGCGCCACGAACCGGAGCGAGGCCUGAGCCCCCCC